rnacentral:rRNA from 1 species
CAGCAGCCACGGGAAUACAGAGGGUGCGAGCGUUAAUCGGAUUUACUGGGCGUAAAGCGUGCGUAGGCGGCUUCUUAAGUCGGAUGUGAAAUCCCUGAGCUUAACUUAGGAAUUGCAUUCGAUACUGGGAAGCUAGAGUAUGGGAGAGGAUGGUAGAAUUCCAGGUGUAGCGGUGAAAUGCGUAGAGAUCUGGAGGAAUACCGAUGGCGAAGGCAGCCAUCUGGCCUAAUACUGACGCUGAGGUACGAAAGCAUGGGGAGCAAACAGGAUUAGAUACCCCAGAGUCCCUGUCUCUUAUACA